AUUGAACGCUGGCGGCAGGCCUAACACAUGCAAGUCGAGCGGAGCGGCGGACGGGUGAGUAAUGCCUAGGAAUCGGACUGGUAGUGGGGGAUAAGGUUCGGAAACGGGAGCUGAUACCAAAUACUAUCGGAUGAGCCUAGGUCGGAUUGGCUAGUGGGAGGGGUAAAGGCCGACCAAGGCGACGAUCCGUAGCUGGUCUGAGAGGAUGAUCAGCCACACUGGAACUGAGACACGGUCCAGACUCCUACGGGAGGCAGCAGUGGGGAAUAUUGGACAAUGGGCGAAAGCCUGAUCCAGCCAUGCCGCGUGUAUGAAGAAGGUCUUCGGGUUGUAAAGCACUUUCAGUUGGGAGGCGUUACUAGCAGAAUAAGCACCGGCUAACUUCGUGCCAGCAGCCGCGGUAAUUC
rnacentral:rRNA from 1 species